CUCCUAGAAGCGAUAAUUGCAUUAAGUUUCGGCCUUAACCUUAGGAUCUAAUUUGUUCCUCUAGGGGU
rnacentral:tRNA from 2 species